rnacentral:rRNA from 1 species
GACGAACCGAGCGAACGUUGUUCGGAAUCACUGGGCUUAAAGGGCGCGUAGGCGGGUGCUCAAGUCCGGGGUGAAAUCCCACAGCUUAACUGUGGAACUGCCUCGGAUACUGGGUGCCUCGAGGGUGGUAGGGGUAUGCGGAACUAUCGGUGGAGCGGUGAAAUGCGUUGAUAUCGAUAGGAACUCCGGUGGCGAAGGCGGCAUACUGGACCACAUCUGACGCUGAGGCGCGAAAGCCAGGGGAGCGAACGGG